rnacentral:tRNA from 1 species
GGGGCCGUAGCGCAGAGGCCGACGCGCCCGCCUACGGAGCGGGAGGAGGCCGGUUCGAAUCCGGUCGGCCCCA